AAUCCUCAUGGAUAUGUACAUGA
rnacentral:piRNA from 1 species